UACAGAGGGUGCGAGCGUUAAUCGGAUUUACUGGGCGUAAAGGGCACGUAGGCGGUAGAAUGUGUGUGAUGUGAAAGCCCCGGGCUCAACCUGGGAAGUGCAUCGCAAACUAUUUAACUAGAGUAGAUGAGAGGGUGGCGGAAUUUCCGGUGUAGCGGUGAAAUGCGUAGAGAUCGGAAGGAACGUCAAUGGCGAAGGCAGCCACCUGGCAUCAUACUGACGCUGAGGUGCGAAAGCGUGGGGAGCGAACAGG
rnacentral:rRNA from 1 species